GAGGGUUUAAAAAAGAAGAAGAAGAAGAAGAAGAAGAAACUCUGUUUUGUGUACUCAAAACUUCUCAGAUGCAAACAUCAGUGGGAAUUGUACCCACACAAGCAAUUGCAAUGGGCCCCACUUCAUAUUCUGAAAAACGCAAACUGAUACAGCAGCAGCUGGUUCUGCUGCUUCACGCUCAUAAAUGUCAGAGACGAGAACAAGCAAACGGAGAGGUUCGGGCCUGCUCUCUCCCACAUUGUGGAACCAUGAAAAAUGUUUUGAAUCACAUGACACACUGUCAGGCUGGGAAAGCCUGUCAAGUUGCCCAUUGUGCGUCUUCACGACAAAUCAUCUCUCAUUGGAAGAACUGCACACGACAUGACUGUCCUGUUUGCCUCCCUUUGAAAAAUGCCAGUGACAAGUGAAACCAACAAAGUAGUCGAAAACCAGGACUGCAUAUUGGAGACUGCUUUCAAAGAUACCACACAAUGGAGAAAUAUAAAAUAUAAUUUUUACAUAAAAACAUGUUAUUGAAACACAUUAUUGUCUAAACAUACAUCUAAUGUUCAAAAAAGAAUGAAUAAAUCUUGUUUAUCCUUCA